rnacentral:lncRNA from 1 species
CUAGCAACAGGGGAAGCUGUUAUUAGCCCAAACUUGAAGGGAGAAGGAGAAAUAAUAUUACUUACAGAGAGAACUGACUGUCCAAAGGGAGCUGGAGUCUUAGAGAGAUGCAGCUGUGAUCAGAUAUGAGGUACCAAGCUGGGAGAGAACAGGUGAGAAAUGAUCUGACCUGUCUUCCUAUCUUCUACUGGUAUCUCCUGUUGGCUGAGUAUCAUGGAAAGCCAGCUGUGAUGCAGCUCAGGUGAUGAGUUUAUAGGAAUCAAUCUCUCAGGGAACAGUUUAGAGCAGAGAAAGGCAGAAAAUGUCUCUUGGGAUGGAGAAGAAAUGGAGACCAACCAACUGUCAUUAUUGCCUUUUUUUUUUUUUUUUUUUAAGAUGGAGUCUCGCUCUGUCACCAAGACUGAAGUGCAGUGGUGUGAUGUCUGCUCACUGCAACCUCCACCUCCUGGGUUCAAGCGAUUCUUCUGCCUCAGCCUCCCGAGUAGCUGGGAUUACAGGCAAAUCUACCUAAAACCAGCACUGACCCAGGAAUGAGGAGACCUGGAUUCUAGUCUCACAUCAUGUCCCUCUGAGUUUUAUAAUUCUGGGUCACGCUGAUGCAAGAGGUGGAUUCCCAGGGACUCGGGCAGCUCUGCCCCUAUGACUUUCCAGAGUACAGGCCCCCUCCUGGCUGCUUUCACAGGCUGAUGUUGAGUGUCUGCAGCUUUUCCAGGCACACAGUGCAAGCUGUUGGUGGAUCUACCAUUCUGGGGUCUGGAGGGCAGUGGCCUUCUUCUCACAGCUCCAUUAGGUAGUGCCCCCGUGGGGACUCUGUGUAGGGGCUCAGUCCCCACAUUUUCCUUCUGCACUGCCCUAGCAGAGGUUCUCCAAGAUGACUCCACCCCCGCAGCAAACUUCUGCCUUGACAUCAAGUGUUUCCACAUUUUCAGGUAUGUUUAUAGCAACACCCCACUGUCUGCAGUACCAAUUUACUGUGUUAGUCCAUUCUCACGCAACUAUGAAGAUAUACCCAAGACUGAGUAAUUUAUAUAGAAAAGAGGUUUAGUUGACACACAGUUCUGUAUGACUGGGGAGGUCUCAGGAAACUUACAAUCAUGGCAGGAAGCACUUCUUCACAGGGCAGCAAGAGAGAGAAUGAGUGCCAAACAAACAAGGAAAAGUCCCUUACAGAACCGACAUAUCUAUUGAGGACUCACUCAGUAUCACAAGAACAACAUAAGGGAACUGCCCCCAUGAUUUAAUCACCUCCCACAAGGUCCCUCCUCCAGCACGUGGGGAUUACAAUUCAAAAUGAUGUUUAAGUGAGGACACAGAACCAGACCAUAUUACCUGGAAACCAGCAUUAUGUUUUCUGUCUGCAUAGAUUUAACUCUUCUGGAUAUUUCAUAUCAAUAAAUCUUAUAACAUAUGACCUUUUGCAUCU